UACGUAGGGGGCUAGCGUUGUCCGGAAUCAUUGGGCGUAAAGAGCGUGUAGGCGGCCCGGUAAGUCCCGCUGUGAAAGUCGGGGGCUCAACCUCGAAUGCCGGUGGAUAUUGUCGGGCUAGAGUGCGGAAGAGGCGAGUGGAAUUCCUGGUGUAGCGGUGAAAUGCGCAGAUAUCAGGAGGAACACCUGAGGUGAAGACGGGUUGCUGGGCCAACACUGACGCUGAGGCGCGAAAGCCAGGGGAGCAAACGGG
rnacentral:rRNA from 1 species